rnacentral:rRNA from 2 species
CUUUUGUUUGAAAGAUGGCUUUGGCUAUCACUCUGGGAUGGACCUGCGGUGCAUUAGCUAGUUGGUAAGGUAACGGCUUACCAAGGCGAUGAUGCAUAGCCGAGUUGAGAGACUGAUCGGCCACAAUGGAACUGAGACACGGUCCAUACUCCUACGGGAGGCAGCAGUAGGGAAUCUUCCACAAUGGGCGCAAGCCUGAUGGAGCAACACCGCGUGAGUGAAGAAGGGUUUCGGCUCGUAAAGCUCUGUUGUUGGAGAAGAACGUGCGUGAGAGUAACUGUUCACGCAGUGACGGUAUCCAACCAGAAAGUCACGGCUAACUACGUGCCAGCAGCCGCGGKAAUACGUAGGUGGCAAGCGUUAUCCGGAUUUAUUGGGCGUAAAGCGAGCGCAGGCGGUUGCUUAGGUCUGAUGUGAAAGCCUUCGGCUUAACCGAAGAAGUGCAUCGGAAACCGGGCGACUUGAGUGCAGAAGAGGACAGUGGAACUCCAUGUGUAGCGGUGGAAUGCGUAGAUAUAUGGAA